rnacentral:tRNA from 1 species
UGGAGAAAUGGCUGAGUGGCUUAUAGCGGCAACUUGCUAAGUUGUUGUGUUUGUUUAAAACACCGUAGGUUCGAAUCCUGCUUUUUCCGU